rnacentral:rRNA from 1 species
UACGUAGGGCGCGAGCGUUGUCCGGAAUUAUUGGGCGUAAAGAGCUCGUAGGCGGCUUGUCGCGUCGACUGUGAAAACCCGCGGCUCAACCGUGUGGCUUGCAGUUGUUACGGGCAGGCUAGAGUUCGGUAGGGGAGACUGGAAUUCCUGGUGUAGCGGUGAAAUGCGCAGAUAUCAGGAGGAACACCGGUGGCGAAGGCGGGUCUCUGGGCCGAUACUGACGCUGAGGAGCGAAAGCGUGGGGAGCGAACAGG